GACGAACGCUGGCGGCGUGCUUAUCACAUGCAAGUCGAACGGAAAGGCCCUGCUUGCAGGGUACUCGAGUGGCGAACGGGUGAGUAACACGUGGGUGAUCUGCCCUGCACUUCGGGAUAAGCCUGGGAAACUGGGUCUAAUACCGGAUAGGAGCCAUUUUUAGUGUGAUGGUUGGUAAGUUUUUUCGGUGUAGGAUGAGCUCGCGGCCUAUCAGCUUGUUGGUGGGGUAAUGGCCUACCAAGGCGGCGACGGGUAGCCGGCCUGAGAGGGUGGACGGCCACAUUGGGACUGAGAUACGGCCCAGACUCCUACGGGAGGCAGCAGUGGGGAAUAUUGCACAAUGGGCGCAAGCCUGAUGCAGCGACGCCGCGUGGGGGAUGACGGCCUUCGGGUUGUAAACUCCUUUCGCUAGGGACGAAGCUUUUUGUGACGGUACCUAGAUAAGAAGCACCGGCUAACUACGU
rnacentral:rRNA from 1 species